rnacentral:rRNA from 1 species
CUAAGUGAUCGCUCGGUGAUAAAGGAGGUUGGGGGUGCGAAGACAGCCAGGAGGUUUGCCUAGAAGCAGCCACCCUUUAAAGAGUGUGUAAUAGCUCACUGAUCGAGCGCCGACACAAUCUGUCGGGCAGGUAGAUUCACAUCUCUUACAACCCACACAAUCUUCGAUUCUUGGCACAGAAGCAAUUUGCUUGGUUAUACAUUCAUCCCAGGGUAUCAUUUCUAAUACAUCUGUUGGACAAGCUUGUACACAUUGAGUGCAUCCUAUACAUGUAUCGUAAAUUUUUACGGAAUGUGACAU